rnacentral:rRNA from 1 species
CGCAGCCGCGGUAAUUCCAGCUCCAAUAGCGUAUAUUAAAGUUGUUGCAGUUAAAAAGCUCGUAGUUGAAUUUCGGGAUUGGCGCAUCGGUCGUGCCUCACGGGGUAUGAACUGGUGCAGUCAAUUUCUCACCUUCUGGAGAACCGCGAUGUCCUUAAUUGGAUGCCGCGGGGAACCAGGACCUUUACUUUGAAAAAAUUAGAGUGUUUAAAGCAGGCAUUUUUGCUUGAAUACAUUAGCAUGGAAUAAUAAAAUAGGACGGCAUGGUUCUAUUUUGUUGGUUUCUAGGACCACCGUAAUGAUUAAUAGGGAUAGUUGGGGGCAUUAGUAUUCAAUUGUCAGAGGUGAAAUUCUUGGAUUUAUUGAAGACUAACUACUGCGAAAGCAUUUGCCAAGGAUGUUUUCAUUAAUCAAGAACGAAAGUUAGGGGAUCGAAGACGAUCAGAUACCGUCGUAGUCUUAACCAUAAACUAUGCCGACUAGGAAUCAG